ACUGGUGAGUAACGCGUGGGUGACCUACCUUGAGGAUGGGGAUAGCUGUUAGAAAUAGCAGGUAAUACCGAAUACGUUCACAAUAUUAUGAUUAUGUGAAGAAAGGAGCUACGGCUCCGCCUUGAGAUGGGCCCGCGUCCCAUUAGCUAGUUGGUGAGGUAAAGGCCCACCAAGGCGAAGAUGGGUAGCCGGCCUGAGAGGGUGAACGGCCACACUGGGACUGAGAUACGGCCCAGACUCCUACGGGAGGCAGCAGCUAAGAAUAUUCCACAAUGGACGGAAGUCUGAUGGAGCGACGCCGCGUGGAUGAGGAAGGCCGAAAGGUUGUAAAAUUCUUUUGCGGAUGAAGAAUAACCGGGGCAGGGAAUGGCUUCGGGAUGACGUUAGUCUGCGAAUAAGCCCCGGCUAAUUACGUGCCAGCAGCCGCGGUAACAUGUAAGGGGCGAGCGUUGUUCGGAAUUAUUGGGCGUAAAGGGCGCGUAGGCGGCCUAGUAAGUCUGAUGUGAAAACCCCGGGCUCAACCCGGGAACUGCAUUGGAAACUGCGAGGCUUGAGUCACGGAGGGGGAAUCGGAAUUCCUGGUGUAGGGGUGAAAUCUGUAGAUAUCAGGAAGAACACCGGUGGCGAAGGCGGAUUUCCAGCCGAUGACUGACGCUGAGGCGCGAAAGUGCGGGGAGCAAACAGGAUUAGAUACCCUGGUAGUCCGCACUAUAAACGAUGCACACUAGGUGUCGGGGCGAGCGUCUCGGUGCCGGAGCGAACGCGAUAAGUGUGCCGCCUGGGGAGUAUGCCCGCAAGGGUGAAACUCAAAGGAAUUGACGGAAU
rnacentral:rRNA from 1 species